rnacentral:rRNA from 1 species
UACGUAGGGUGCGAGCGUUAAUCGGAAUUACUGGGCGUAAAGCGUGCGCAGGCGGUUUUGUAAGCCAGAUGUGAAAUCCCCGGGCUUAACCUGGGAAUGGCAUUUGGGACUGCAAGGCUGGAGUACGGCAGAGGAGACUGGAAUUCCUGGUGUAGCAGUGAAAUGCGCAGAUAUCGGGAAGAACACCUAUGGCGAAGGCAGCUCUCUGGGACGGUACUGACGCUGAGACGCGAAAGCGUGGGGAGCGAACAGG